GGCAAGGAACAGAGGAAUAGCCAAAGCACCAGGGAGCAAAAACAGGAGCGUUCUUCAAGUUUUUGGCUCUUCAUCAAUCAUAGCACCAAGAGAAAGAGAAUGAUGGCCAAGAAGGGAGCUGACUGAAGCUUAAGAGGGAGCUGUGUUCCACUCACCCAACUGUUCUUCGAGUUUCUUUGCUAGUUUAUUCAAUUUCUUUUAACACAACUACCACCACAAGCAAAGAGAGGUUUGGGCUCAAGAGAAAAACAGGGACAAGUCUUGUGUAUUUGAUCAACAAAGAGGUAAGGGUUAGAAUAGUUAGAUAUUGAUUUUAGCUGUAUUUGGUGAUUAAAUGGCAGAAACCUUUCCAUUGAGUAUGCUUAUUCUCAAAUAAGUUAGGCUACAUAAUAUAUUUAUUGACCAGUCAGCUGCUUAAUUCUUUGAUCUGUAUGUGAAUGAUUGUUGCUUUCUUAAUCAGCAGUUUACUUUGUAGUGGUAAAUGGUAAUGUUCUAAUAAACAAAAAUCAAGUACUAAUGGGGACUAUUAUUCAUUUGUCUAGAGUAGUUUACUGAUUUCAUGUUAAUUAUUUUUGUU